rnacentral:rRNA from 1 species
UGGCGACCGGCGCACGGGUGAGUAACGCGUAUGCAACCUGCCCGAUACCGGGGUAUAGCCCAUGGAAACGUGGAUUAACACCCCAUAGUACUUUUAUCCUGCAUGGGAUGUGAGUUAAAUGUUCAAGGUAUCGGAUGGGCAUGCGUCCUAUUAGUUAGUUGGCGGGGUAACAGCCCACCAAGACGAUGAUAGGUAGGGGUUCUGAGAGGAAGGUCCCCCACAUUGGACUGAGACACGGCCAA